CCUACGGUAGGCAGCAGUGGGGAAUAUUGCGCACUGGGCGAAAGCCUGACGCAGCGACGCCGCGUGAGGGAUGAAGGUCUUCGGAUCGUAAACCUCUGUCAGCAGGGAAGAACGGUCACUGUGCUAAUCAGCAGUGAAUUGACGGUACCUGCAGAGGAAGCACCGGCUAACUCCGUGCCAGCAGCCGCGGUAAUACGGAGGGUGCGAGCGUUAAUCGGAAUUACUGGGCGUAAAGCGCACGUAGGCGGUAUGUCAAGUCAAGGGUGAAAUCCCCGGGCUCAACGUGGGAACUGCCUUUGAAACUGGCAAGCUAGAGUGUGUGAGAGGAGAGUAGAAUUCCAGGUGUAGCAGUGAAAUCCGUAGAGAUCUGGAGGAAUAUCAGUGGCGAAGGCGACUAUCUGGCAAAUGACUGACGCUGAGGUGCGAAAGCGUGGGGAGCAAACAGGAUUAGAUACCCGUGUAGUC
rnacentral:rRNA from 1 species